AGAGUUUGAUCCUGGCUCAGAGUGAACGCUGGCGGCGUGCUUAACACAUGCAAGUCGAACGAGAACGGAUUUUAGCUUGCUAAAAUUGUCAGCUAAGUGGCGCACGGGUGAGUAAUGUAUAGGUAAUGUGCCCCUUACUAGGAAAUAACAGUUGGAAACGACUGCUAAUGUCCUAUAUACCUCUAAAACAAAAGUUUGUGAGGGAAAGAUUUAUUGGUAAGGGAUCGGCCUGUAUGGUAUCAGUUAGUUGGUGAGGUAAUGGCUCACCAAGACAAUGACGCCUAACUGGUUUGAGAGGAUGAUCAGUCACACUGGAACUGAGACACGGUCCAGACUCCUACGGGAGGCAGCAGUGGGGAAUAUUGCACAAUGGACGAAAGUCUGAUGCAGCAACGCCGCGUGGAGGAUGACACAUUUCGGUGCGUAAACUCCUUUUAUAUAGGAAGAUAAUGACGGUACUAUAUGAGUAAGCGCCGGCUAACUCCGUGCCAGCAGCCGCGGUAAUACGGAGGGCGCAAGCGUUACUCGGAAUCACUGGGCGUAAAGAGCGUGUAGGCGGAUAAAUAAGUUUGAAGUGAAAUCCUAUAGCUUAACUAUAGAACUGCUUUGAAAACUGUUUGUCUAGAAUAUGGGAGAGGUAGAUGGAAUUUCUGGUGUAGGGGUAAAAUCCGUAGAGAUCAGAAGGAAUACCGAUUGCGAAGGCGAUCUACUGGAACAUUAUUGACGCUGAGACGCGAAAGCGUGGGGAGCAAACAGGAUUAGAUACCCUGGUAGUCCACGCCCUAAACGAUGUACACUAGUUGUUGUGAGGCUAGACCUUGCAGUAAUGCAGUUAACACAUUAAGUGUACCGCCUGGGGAGUACGGUCGCAAGAUUAAAACUCAAAGGAAUUGACGG
rnacentral:rRNA from 1 species